CUUGGUGUUUGAGCGGUGGGAAGGAGUUGAGGUGCAUGUACACCAAUGCUAGGAGCAUGGGUAAUAAGCAGGAAGAGCUUGCAGCUCUCCUGGAAAUGGGAGGGUAUGACCUGGAGGAGAUCACAGAAACUUGGUGGGCUGAAACGCAAGAUUGGAAUGUGAACAUAGAGGAGUAUCACCUUUUUAGAAAGGACAGGAAGGGAAAGAGGGGUGGGGGCAUGGCUUUAUAUGUCAGGGAAGGGAUAGGAUGCAGUGAGAUAGA